rnacentral:tRNA from 3 species
GGGGAGAUACUCAAGCGGCCAACGAGGGCGGACUGUAAAUCCGCUGACUACGUCUUCGCAGGUUCGAAUCCUGCUCUCCCCACGA